rnacentral:rRNA from 1 species
GAGUUUGAUCCUGGCUCAAGAUGAACGCUGGCGGCGUGCUUAACACAUGCAAGUCGAACGAGAAUCAGUGGAACAAGGAUUCGUCUGAAGGAAGCUGAAGAAAGUGGCGGACGGGUGAGUAACGCGUGAGCAAUCUGCCUUGGAGUGGGGAAUAACGGCUGGAAACAGCCGCUAAUACCGCAUGAUGCAUCUGAGUCGCAUGGUUUGGAUGCCAAAGAUUUAUCGCUCUGAGAUGAGCUCGCGUCUGAUUAGCUAGUUGGCGGGGUAACGGCCCACCAAGGCGACGAUCAGUAGCCGGACUGAGAGGUUGGCCGGCCACAUUGGGACUGAGACACGGCCCAGACUCCUACGGGAGGCAGCAGUGGGGAAUAUUGGGCAAUGGGCGAAAGCCUGACCCAGCAACGCCGCGUGAAGGAAGAAAGCUUUCGGGUUGUAAACUUCUUUUGACAGGGAAGAGCAGAAGACGGUACCUGUCGAAUAAGCCACGGCUAACUACGUGCCAGCAGCCGCGGUAAUACGUAGGUGGCAAGCGUUGUCCAGAUUUACUGGGUGUNAAAGGCGUGUAACCGGGCUGACAAGUCAAUGUGAAAUCCGGGGGCUCAACCCCGAA